UACGGGGGGGGCAAGCGUUGUUCGGAAUUACUGGGCGUAAAGGGCUCGUAGGUGGCCAACUAAGUCAGACGUGAAAUCCCUCGGCUUAACCGGGGAACUGCGUCUGAUACUGGAUGGCUUGAGUUCGGGAGAGGGAUGCGGAAUUCCAGGUGUAGCGGUGAAAUGCGUAGAUAUCAGGAGGAACACCGAUGGCGAAGGCAGGUCUCUGGGCCACUACUGACGCUGAGAAGCGAAAGCGUGGGGAGCGAACAGG
rnacentral:rRNA from 1 species